rnacentral:rRNA from 1 species
CCUACGGGUGGCAGCAGUGGGGGAUAUUGCACAAUGGGGGGAACCCUGAUGCAGCGACGCCGCGUGGGUGAAGGAGUGCUUCGGCAUGUAAAGCCCUAUCGGCAGGGAAGAAGCAAGACGGUACCUGAGUAAGAAGCCCCGGCUAACUACGUGCCAGCAGCCGCGGUAAUACGUAGGGGGCAAGCGUUAUCCGGAUUUACUGGGUGUAAAGGGAGCGUAGACGGCAGUGCAAGUCUGGAGUGAAAGGCGGGGGCUCAACCCCCGGACUGCUCUGGAAACUGUACGGCUGGAGUGCAGGAGAGGUAAGUGGAAUUCCUAGUGUAGCGGUGAAAUGCGUAGAUAUUAGGUGGAACACCAGUGGCGAAGGCGGCUUACUGGACUGUAACUGACGUUGAGGCUCGAAAGCGUGGGGAGCAAACAGGAUUAGAUACCCUGUAGUC